CAAUUUGUCAUAAUAAAUCAUAUUGUACAGACAUUGUUGAACGGUAUGAGAAUGGAAACUAAGGAGAAAUAGUUGAAAUGUAACUUAACAUUUCGUUGAAUGGUUCGUAAUAAUAUUUCGCAACACACUUUCACAUAUGCAUUUCACUAUACAUUACUUAUAACUAACAGUUUGGCAAAUUGUUAUUUUCUGUACACGUUACAAAAUAACACAACAGCUCUGUAACUUUUAAACUGGCGUUUAAUCCUACUUCACACACAUAGUGAAUCGCAGAAUUAAAUUUACUCAAAUGUAAACAGGUUUUUCAACGAGAUUUGUAAAAAUGUUAAUAAAGUUAUGCCGUUAUUUGAAACUCAUAAGUUUCUACAAGUUCCAAAAGUUCAGUUAGAAUAGCCGUUAUGUAGAAUUUUUUAAGCGUGCCUGCUGUUGUAUUUACCUUUCAGUGAAAAAAUAAAUGAAAAAAAUGUUCCAAUAUUUAGAGUGCUCUAGAGUGCCAAAUACGUUGCUCCGCGCCAUCAGUUCCUGUCUAAAUCCUGCCGCAGCUCACAACAAUUCGGUUUUCCAUUAUCGCUCCGGUACCAUGUGCCCACGGAGACGAAAAAAUCGUCUUUCCCCGGCAAUUUAAUCGCGAAUGUGUGGUAAAUUUCCGUUUGGAGAAUUCCUCAUUCAUUUGGAAUUAUAUGUGCAGAAUCGUCGAUAGAAGGAGAGUGGAAAUGACACAGGUAGAGCCGAAUGGCCACCUCCGACGGCAGCAAUCUUAGCGACCUCGUAGUUGAACAUGAUUUCUUUUGAUGACGCGCACGAAGAUGGGGCAGCCUCCAGGAGCUUCCAUUGGCCCCGCAGGGAAAAGAUGUUCGGUGAUGCGAGUUGGAUAGAACAACGAAAAGAAAUGUUUUCACAUGACAGAACAAUGAACAGCAAUCACCUAACAAUCACUUCGUACAUUCGUGAAAUAAACUAGUUAAAAAAGGCGAUUCCAACAUUA